rnacentral:rRNA from 1 species
UACGGAGGGGGCAAGCGUUAUCCGGAAUCACUGGGCGUAAAGCGUCCGCAGGUGGCGAUUCAAGUCUGCGGUCAAAGACUGGGGCUUAACCCUGGAAAGGCCGUGGAAACUGAAUAGCUAGAGUGCAGUAGGGGUAGAGGGAAUUCCCGGUGUAGCGGUGAAAUGCGUAGAGCUCGGGAAGAACAUCGGUGGCGAAAGCGCUCUGCUAGGCCGCAACUGACACUGAGGGACGAAAGCUAGGGGAGCGAAUGGG